GACGAACGCUGGCGGCGUGCUUAACACAUGCAAGUCGAACGGUAAGGCCCUUCGGGGUACACGAGUGGCGAACGGGUGAGUAACACGUGGGUGAUCUGCCCUGCACUUCGGGAUAAGCCUGGGAAACUGGGUCUAAUACCGGAUAGGACUCCUGCCUGCAUGGGUGGGGGUGGAAAGCUUUUGCGGUGUGGGAUGGGCCCGCGGCCUAUCAGCUUGUUGGUGGGGUGAUGGCCUACCAAGGCGACGACGGGUAGCCGGCCUGAGAGGGUGACCGGCCACACUGGGACUGAGAUACGGCCCAGACUCCUACGGGAGGCAGCAGUGGGGAAUAUUGCACAAUGGGCGCAAGCCUGAUGCAGCGACGCCGCGUGAGGGAUGACGGCCUUCGGGUUGUAAACCUCUUUCAGCACAGACGAAGCGCAAGUGACGGUAUGUGCAGAAGAAGGACCGGCCAAUUACGUGCCAGCCGCCGCAGUAA
rnacentral:rRNA from 1 species